AAAGUGCGACAAGUGUCACGACUUGCAGAUUCCCGGGAGCUGACAAAUCUCUGAAUGCAAAUUGCGGACCGACUUUCUGCCCUGUCGGCCAUGUGCUGCAGAGUGUUGUUGCCUUGAGCACUACAUCCUUUGGUGCCUAACACGUCCAAAGGGAUACGGGGUUGACAAAACGAAAUGAGGCGCUCGCGCGCCUCACACACCGUUUCGUCAGCCCUUAGAUUUGCGCAAGCUCACGUCCUAAAGACGAGCUCUUGCCUUGGAUCCGCGCCUUGCGCGCUCACCCAAUCGGCGGCAGAGCACACAACAGAGUCUUUAUCCCACACGUGCAGCCUUUUUGUGCGCAAGAAGAGACCGAGAACACUUUCUCUCUCUCUCCCUCCUUUCUGCUGACCUCUGCAGC
rnacentral:misc_RNA from 1 species